GGCAAUACCCGAAGCCAGUGGUCUAACCCUUUUAGGGAAGAAGCUGUCGAAGGUAGGGUCGGUAACUGGGACUAAGUCGUAACAAGGUAGCCGUACGGGAACGUGCGGCUGGAUCACCUCCUUUCUAAGGAGCAUAGAACUUCGGUUCUAAGGUCAAUCGUCGGUUGUCUACAAGACUGAUAUUUUACUCAGCUGUGAAAAAGUCAAAUUGGCUUUUUGAAAAUUGUAUAGCAAGCGCAAUUGCAAAGUAUUUAUUAUAGUUCAAGCUACUAAGGGCUAUUGGUGGAUGCCUUGGCGCUGGAAGCCGAUGAAGGACGUGGAAGACUGCGAAAAGCUACGGUAAGCUGUCAAACAAGCUUUGACCCGUAGAUGU
rnacentral:misc_RNA from 1 species